GCUCGGCACCUUAUGUGUCUCUAGAAACAUAAAUAUUUAAUCCCAGCACGCAGCAGUUCCUUUUCGCGAUUAAUCGUCCCGACGAGUCAGUUUUUGCAAUCAACGACGAUAAUUUACAGUAGGUAUGACGACGCCAGGAACCGAACGUCUCUCCCCUUAAUCAUCUAUAUUUUUAUAUUCCUAACAGGACUUACGCAAUGCCCGUCGAUGGUUCGUUGGUAAAAAUAGGUACUUGCGUUACAUCCAGUGGCGGUGACGCCGUCCAAGUCCAUAAAAGCGCACCAAAGGAUCACUCCCGUCACUGUCGCGUAUCCUUCUUUUUUUUUUUUUUUUUAUAUUACAUAGAACUCACUCACUCGCGUACCGCGCUACACUCCCGACCCGUUUUUCAUCGGAGCCGCUGUCGCACGCUUAAUCGGUCCUAGGUUCCUUCUUUUGCACAUCCCCGGCAUCGAAGUCUCUCGCGAAAGCACGCACACCGAGCGGAGAACCGGAUCCCAGCCAACGAACUCCUAUACUUGUCACAGAAAGUGUCCCCCGCUCGAAAUCACUGCACCACGGAUCACGGACAUCUAGCUGUGCAGACCACUUAUCAUUUUGCUUGAGCAUUAAUUAACGAACAUAAAUUACCUUCUAAGAAGUAAUGUGUUCCGUCGAAGGAUGACGGAAUAAAAUUAUGCGAUAGAGGGUUAAGAGCAGACGAGUCCCAAGGUGAGGAAGUGACUUUUAAUCGAUUAGAUAAUGACGGUGACGGAGUGAUUGUUAUUGGAUUUCCGAGUCGAACCAGUCUUCCGUCGACUGAUCCUUCGAGGGAACACUGUACGAAUCGUGACGUCGGAUACGAGCAUACCAAGCCGAGGAUGGAGAGGAAGAAGAGCGUGAGAAAUUUUCAUCGAGCCGUAUCGACCGAACGGAAAUAAAAAUCCUCGAGAGGAAGAGACGACCAUUUUGGAGAACCAAGAAUCCCUUCGACCGUGACCAACCUGUUUAUCCUGCUUCCAGACUUUAGACAAAGCUAAUCAAACAACUAUGGUACACUCCUCGUGACACUUUAGGAUGACGAUUCUGUAGCACGACAGGACUCUUGGACCGUGACCACCGUAAUUAUCCUUCUUUUCGGAGUAUCCUGGCAAAAACUUCAGUCCGCGAGCGACCCGAGCUAGACACGAGAAUAAUCUCCUUAACGACCUUGACUUCAGGAGAAGCUAAACCCGUUCAACUUUCGAUACGUCCUGAGCUCCCGAUAUAGAAUCCCGCGGACUCGUUACCAUUUUAUCACCAGAAACGCACGCUUCGCGAUACAGCGGGAUCAACGAUCGAGACGUCGAGUCGCGUGAACCACAGUCGACGAACACGGGGAACCGUCUCCGGAUAACUUUAACAUCCGGCUACGAGCAGACCUGGUACCGAGGAGAAAACGCGAAAACGGCGCGAGAUACCAGGUGGUCCCGCGUGGAAAACGGCAAACGACCUAAUUAAUCGACGUGUACCGUUAAAGUCGAAAGUACCGACGGGUGGUUGGACGUUCGUGAAACUUCGUAUCCUCGAAGCAGACGGUUCCUCGAGCACACUUACCCGUCCC